UACGUAGGGUGCAAGCGUUAAUCGGAAUUACUGGGCGUAAAGCGUGCGCAGGCGGUUUUGUAAGUCUGUCGUAAAAUCCCCGGGCUCAACCUGGGAAUUGCGAUGGAGACUGCAAGGCUAGAAUCUGGCAGAGGGGGGUAGAAUUCCACGUGUAGCAGUGAAAUGCGUAGAGAUUAGGUGGAACACCAGAGGCGAAGGCGCCUGACUGGCCAAUACAUUGACGCUGAGGCGCGAAAGCGUGGGUAGCAAACAGG
rnacentral:rRNA from 1 species